GGUGGUUUGUUAAGUUGGAUGUGAAAUCCCCGGGCUCAACCUGGGAACUGCAUUCAAAACUGACUGACUAGAGUAUGGUAGAGGGUGGUGGAAUUUCCUGUGUAGCGGUGAAAUGCGUAGAUAUAGGAAGGAACACCAGUGGCGAAGGCG
rnacentral:rRNA from 1 species